UACGAAGGGGGCUAGCGUUUUUCGGAAUCACUGGGCGUAAAGCGCAUGAAGGCGGAUCGAUAAGUCGGGGGUGAAAGCCCGGGGCUCAACCUCGGAAUUGCCUUCGAUACUGUCGGUCUCGAGUCCGGGAGAGGUGAGUGGAAUUCCUAGUGUAGAGGUGAAAUUCGUAGAUAUUAGGAAGAACACCAGUGGCGAAGGCGGCUCACUGGCCCGGUACUGACGCUCAGGUGCGAAAGCGUGGGGAGCAAACAGG
rnacentral:rRNA from 1 species